rnacentral:rRNA from 1 species
GAUGAACGCUGGCGGCGCGCCUAACACAUGCAAGUCGAACGGUUAAGGCCCCCUUUAGGGGGCGCAUAGAGUGGCGAACGGGUGAGUAACACGUGACCAACCCGCCCCCCCCACCGGGACAACCUCGGGAAACCGAGGCUAAUACCGGAUACGCCGGGGCCCCCGCAUGGGGGCUCCGGGAAAGCCUUGGCGGGAGGGGACGGGGUCGCGGCCCAUCAGGUAGACGGCGGGGCGAAGGCCCGCCGUGCCGACGACGGGUAGCCGGGCUGAGAGGCCGAUCGGCCACAUUGGGACUGAGACACGGCCCAGACUCCUACGGGAGGCAGCAGUGGGGAAUAUUGCGCAAUGGGCGAAAGCCUGACGCAGCGACGCCGCGUGCGGGAAGGAGGCCUUCGGGUCGUAAACCGCUUUCAGCAGGGAAGAAGCCUGACGGUACCUGCAGAAGAAGCCCCGGCUAACUACGUGCCAGCAGCCGCGGUAAUACGUAGGGGGCGAGCGUUAUCCGGAUUCAUUGGGCGUAAAGCGCGCGCAGGCGGCCCGCCAAGCGGCCUCGUCGAAGCCGGGGGCUCAACCCCCGGAAGCGACCCGAACUGGCGGGCUCGAGUGGGGCAGGGGAGGAUGGAAUUCCCGGUGUAGCGGUGAAAUGCGCAGAUAUCGGGAGGAACACCGACGGCGAAGGCAGCACCUCUGGGCCUUCACUGACGCUGAGGCGCGAAAGCUGGGGGGAGCGAACAGG